UCAGGGGGCCAGACGGCCGCCGGUUCCCCUCGGGGGACGGGAGGAACGUCCGAACUCCUUCGGGCAGAGUGCCGGCUAACGGCCGGGCGGCGUGAGCCGACGGAAAGUGCCACAGAAACAAACCGCCGGGCCGCCUUCGGGCGGAUCGGUAAGGGUGAAAUGGUGCGGUAAGAGCGCACCGGCGUUCCUGGUAACAGGGCGGCCGGGCAAACCCCACUCGGAGCAAGGCCAAAUAGGGGGGCAUACGGGUCGCCCGACCCUGUCCCCGGGUAGGCUGCUUGAGGCGGCGGGUAACCGUCGCCCUAGAUGGAUGGCCGUCGCCGCCCGCUGGUGGGCUCAGCAGGCGGUACAGAAUUCGGCGUACCGGCCCCCUGGCAGC
rnacentral:RNase_P_RNA from 1 species